rnacentral:misc_RNA from 1 species
AAAAAAAAAAAAAGAACUUUUUUGACUAUGCAGUUGUCUUCAGAUGCCUACCAAAAUUUUCUUUUACAUGCAAUAAUGUACAUUUUUAUUUAUCAUUCAUCUUCUAAGAACUUUGGCAGGGUGAACCCUCAAUGUUCUUAAUUUUAUGAAUACUAUAAAAUCGUUGGAGAAAUGGUAAUUUACUUGACAGCCAUUGAGGAAAAAAGUGGAGGCUAUCACCAGUGAUGGUCCUGAAGGGGGACUUGCUUUGACCCAAACUUUUAGUAUUCCAUAUGUUGUGCUGCAUUCUUUAUCUAUUUGCGUAUGAGGCAUUCUUCUUACUUUUCAUUCCAUGGGAAAAUUCUGGUCUGUGCUUGCUUUGUCUUCCCUGGACCUUUGUUUUCUGCAAUGACUUAAUCUGGUUUGCACUUUGCAGGAAAAUUCGACAUAAGAAUGUA